CCCCACCCCUACAGUCACAACCACCCAAGUGCUGUUUGGUUGCCCUUUAACACUAUCAUUGACAUGCAUUGUAUACAAAUGAGAGCACGCCCCUCCCGCAGGGCCAGUCUGAAAUGUUAGCAGCUACACACCGCAUGGCAGAUGAGGGCUUCUAAUGAGCAACAGAAACCCAUUUGAUUAGUUGGCUGAAUCAGACCCUUGGUCUAUCCUGGAUGCAGAUACAACAGGAGUCACAGCAUUCUUGUCUCUGCUGCACAGUGACAGUUGUCAACAUACAAUGGUGUGACCCGUGAUGUCACCAGGUCAAUAAAAGGGUCAGCUGCCCUUUGUUUUUUCUCUUUUUUUUCCCUGGACUCUUCACUGCAGCUGCAGCUGUCUCUCUCCCAGUCACACGAUAUCGCACAGCUCUGAGCAUUCACACCAACCGAACUCUUACUGCAGCAACACUAGAGCCUGAGGAGAACAAAGGACAGAGCAAUCACUUCCUCCGAUCUGCACAAGGGGACAUUGCACAACAAAGACUGAAUCUGAACCACGAUUACUCCCCGCCUCUGGCUCAUCGCCAACCAAUGGAGCAGCACACCAAGGCAAACUUAACUGGGCAUAGGCUAAGUACAGGACUGUUUAACUUUUAUCAAUGUACAUGUGUUUUUCAUUGAGGUUUUCUUGUGAUCUUCGCCAUGGUUAAUGUUAAGCUAUACUGUAACCCUUGUUCUCAGCCACCGCUCAGUUGAUGUUAAUUAAGAUUAGAGUCUUUGCAUGCUAACUAACUCUUUUUAACUUGGCAACGUUACCCUACAGAGAUCACACACAUACACCUCUAAUUUGGCCUUAAAAAUAUCCACACACGUGGAGAGGAACUUUAAAGCUCCUGCUUCACAUACUUUCUUUGUUUCUGACCAUGUGUGUUCAUGCUCGUGUACUUGAGACAUACGGAGGCAGAAAAAAUCAACAGACACACAUUUUUUUCUGGUACGCACACACACGCGCACACACGUGCGCACACACACUCUCACGCACGCACGCACACACACACACACACACACACACUCCAUUUUGUUCUAUAGUUUAGUUUUAGCAUGUCAGUUAGAUUUCAUAUAUUGUAUGUAUUUAUUAUCUUUUUAAUAAAUGCUUGUGGAUAUACAUGGUGGUUUCUUUAAUGUUGUACAAGAGCGAAUGCUGCCAAACCUCUUCUAUGUAGAACUCCAAAAUCUUCAACCUUUAGCUAUUUAUAUGGUAAUUUUGGUCACAGUUAUAAAUUUAAUUAUUAAUCAGAGUUCCAAAUUAAUAGUU